rnacentral:piRNA from 1 species
UGAUUGUUUUCAUCAUUCCCUCACAGU